rnacentral:rRNA from 1 species
GACGAACGCUGGCGGCGUGCCUAAUACAUGCAAGUAGGACGCAGUUGCGAACGGGUGAGUAACGCGUAGGUGACUACCUACAAGAGGGGGAUAACUAUUGGAAAAGAUAGCUAAUACCGCAUACUAGUAGAUGGACCUGCGUUGUUUUAGCUAGGAGGUAGGGUAAUGGCCUACCUAGGCAACGAUACAUAGCCGACCUGAGAAGGGGAUCUGGCACACUGGGACCGAGACACGGGCCCGGAUCCUACGGGGGGCAGCAGUAGGGGAACUUCGGGAAUGGGGGGAACGCUGACCGGGCAACGCCGCGGUAGUGAAGAAGGGUUUCGGGUCGUAAAGCUCUGGUGGUUAGGAAGCGGUACUUAACCAGAAAGGGACGGCUAACUACGUGCCAGCAGCCGCGGUAAUUC